rnacentral:rRNA from 1 species
AUUCCAAGCUUCGCGGCCUAUCAGCUUGUUGGUGGGGUAACGGCCUACCAAGGCGGUGACGGGUAGCCGGCCUGAGAGGGUGUACGGCCACAUUGGGACUGAGAUACGGCCCAGACUCCUACGGGAGGCAGCAGUGGGGAAUAUUGCACAAUGGGCGCAAGCCUGAUGCAGCGACGCCGCGUGGGGGAUGAAGGCCUUCGGGUUGUAAACUCCUUUCGCUAGGGACGAAGCUUUGUGUGACGGUACCUAGAUAAGAAGCACCGGCUAACUACGUGCCAGCAGCCGCGGUAAUACGUAGGGUGCGAGCGUUGUCCGGAAUUACUGGGCGUAAAGGGCUCGUAGGUGGUUUGUCGCGUCGUCUGUGAAAUUCUGGGGCUUAACUCCGGGCGUGCAGGCGAUACGGGCAUAACUUGAGUACUGUAGGGGUAACUGGAAUUCCUGGUGUAGCGGUGAAAUGCGCAGAUAUCAGGAGGAACACCGAUGGCGAAGGCAGGUUACUGGGCAGUUACUGACGCUGAGGAGCGAAAGCAUGGGUAGCGAACAGGAUUAGAUACCCUGGUAGUCCAUGCCGUAAACGGUGGGCGCUAGGUGUGAGGGUCUUUCUACGACUUUCGUGCCGUAGCUAACGCAUUAAGCGCCCCGCCUGGGGAGUACGGAGAUC